rnacentral:tRNA from 3 species
CAUUAAGAAGCUAAGCUAGCGUUAACCUUUUAAGUUAAAGACUGAGGACCAGCCCCCCUCCUUAAUGA